GACGAACGCUGGCGGCGUGCCUAAUACAUGCAAGUUGAGCGCUGAAGGUUGGUACUUGUACCGACUGGAUGAGCAGCGAACGGGUGAGUAACGCGUGGGGAAUCUGCCUUUGAGCGGGGGACAACAUUUGGAAACGAAUGCUAAUACCGCAUAAAAACUUUAAACACAAGUUUUAAGUUUGAAAGAUGCAAUUGCAUCACUCAAAGAUGAUCCCGCGUUGUAUUAGCUAGUUGGUGAGGUAAAGGCUCACCAAGGCGAUGAUACAUAGCCGACCUGAGAGGGUGAUCGGCCACAUUGGGACUGAGACACGGCCCAAACUCCUACGGGAGGCAGCAGUAGGGAAUCUUCGGCAAUGGACGAAAGUCUGACCGAGCAACGCCGAGUGAGUGAAGAAGGUUGUCGGAUCGUAAAACUCUGUUGGUAGAGAAGAACGUUGGUGAGAGUGGAAAGCUCAUCAAGUGACGGUAACUACCCAGAAAGGGACGGCUAACUACGUG
rnacentral:rRNA from 1 species